UACGGAGGGGGCUAGCGUUGUUCGGAAUUACUGGGCGUAAAGCGCGCGUAGGCGGCUUUGUAAGUUAGAGGUGAAAGCCCGGAGCUCAACUCCGGAACUGCCUUUAAGACUGCAUCGCUAGAACGUCGGAGAGGUAAGUGGAAUUCCGAGUGUAGAGGUGAAAUUCGUAGAUAUUCGGAAGAACACCAGUGGCGAAGGCGACUUACUGGACGACUGUUGACGCUGAGGUGGCGAAAAGCGUGGGGAGCAAACAGGAU
rnacentral:rRNA from 1 species